rnacentral:rRNA from 1 species
GACGUAGGGCGCGAGCGUUGUCCGGAUUUAUUGGGCGUAAAGAGCUCGUAGGCGGUCUGUUGCGUCGGGAGUGAAAACUCAGGGCUUAACCCUGAGCCUGCUUCCGAUACGGGCAGACUAGAGGUAUGCAGGGGAGAACGGAAUUCCUGGUGUAGCGGUGAAAUGCGCAGAUAUCAGGAGGAACACCGGUGGCGAAGGCGGUUCUCUGGGCAUUACCUGACGCUGAGGAGCGAAAGUGUGGGGAGCGAACAGG